CCUACGGGGGGCAGCAGUGGGGAAUAUUGCUCAAUGGGCGAAACCCUGAUGCAGCGACGUCGCGUGAGUGAAGACGUACCUCGUUAUGGAAAGCUCUAUCAGCAGGGAAGAAAAUGACGGUACCUGAGUAAGAAGCCCCGGCUAACUACGUGCCAGCAGCCGCGGUAAUACGUAGGGGGCAAGCGUUAUCCGGAUUUACUGGGUGUAAGGGGAGCGUAGACGGCUGUGCAAGUCUGGAGUGAAAGGCGGGGGCUCAACCCCCGGACUGCUCUGGAAACUGUACGGCUGGAGUGCAGGAGAGGUAAGUGGAAUUCCUAGUGUAGCGGUGAAAUGCGUAGAUAUUAGGAGGAACACCAGUGGCGAAGGCGGCUUACUGGACUGUAACUGACGUUGAGGCUCGAAAGCGUGGGGAGCAAACAGGAUUAGAUACCCUUGUAGUC
rnacentral:rRNA from 1 species